AGAUAAGUGUACUCUCUCUUUUUGUUUUUUUUAAUUUUAAGUGAUCUCUAUGUCCAACAUGGGGCUUAAACUCAUGACCCAGAGAUCAAGAGUCACAUCCUCCGCCAACUGAACCAAGCAAGUGUCCUAAGUUGCUGCAGGUUGGGACCUGGCCCCAGUGCAAGAUCCAUGUACUUCCUAUGACCCAGACGGCUUGGCUCAGUCCUUGCAGAGAUCUGCGAAAGGCAAAUAGAGUAACUUCAGUCACCAGACAUUGAAACAGUUGGCUCUUUAUUGCUGAUAAAGUUAAACAUUUGAUUGUCAAAUUCUGUUUGAAAACAAAAUCCAAUAAAGCCAGUGUUUUUAAUUCAUUUGUAUCUCCAUGCUCUAAUGAGUAGAUCAGAUUUCUAAUAAUGAUCCUCUCCUGGCUUAAGCAUGAAAAAUUGCAUCUUCCAAAAAACCUAGCGUAUCUAUUUAAAUAGUGCUACCAGGACUACAGAUUAUUGUCGUAUUUUAAAGAUUGUACUUAUUUAUUUAUUUAGAGAGAGGGAGUGCAUGCAAGUUGGGAGAGGGGCGGGGGGCGAGAGACUCUCAGGCUGACUCUGAGCUGAGCACAAAGCUGGAGGCAGGGCUCGAUCUCACGACCCUGGGAUUAUGACCUGAGCCAAAAUUAGGAGUUGAGAUGCUCAACCAACUGCCACCCACCCCCGACACCCACCCAGAACUACCA
rnacentral:lncRNA from 1 species